UUACUGGGCGUAAAGCGCAUGCAGGCGGCCUGUUAAGUCAGAUGUGUAAAGCCCCGGGGCUUAAACCUCGGAAUUGCAUUUGAAACUGGCAGGCUAGAGUCUUGUAGAGGGGGUAGAAUUUCAGGUGUAGCGGUGAAAAUGCGUAGAGAUCUGAAGGAAUACCAGUGGCGAAGGCGGCCCCCUGGACAAAGACUGACGCUCAGAUGCGAAAGCGUGGGGAGCAAACAGGAUUAGAUACCCCUGGUAG
rnacentral:rRNA from 1 species